ACGAAGGAGUCUAACGCACGUGCAAGUCAGAGUGUUUUCUCCGAACACACCCUGUGGCGCAAUGAAAGUGAGGGCCGGCAUGCGCCGGCUGAGCUGGGAUCCCGGCACCACCAGCCCGUCUCGCCUGCUCUGUCAGGGAGGUGGAACGUGAGCGCGUGCGAUAGGACCCGAAAGAUGGUGAACUAUGCCUGGGCAGGGCAAAGCCAGACGAAACUCUGGUGGAGGUCCGUAGCGGUCCUGACGUGCAAAUCGGUCGUCCGACCUGGGUAUAGGGGCGAAAGACUAAUCGAACCAUCUAGUAGCUGGUUCCCUCCGAAGUUUCCCUCAGGAUAGCUGGCGCUCGAAGUCUCUCAGUUUUAUCUGCUAAAGCGAAUGAUUAGAGGUCUUGGGGUCGAAACGAUCUCAACCUAUUCUCAAACUUUAAAUGGGUAAGAAGACCGGCUCGCUGGCUUGGAGCCGGGCGUGGAAUGCGAGCCGCCAAGUGGGCCACUUUUGGUAAGCAGAACUGGCACUGCGGGAUGAACCGAACACCGGGUUAAGGUGCCUGAUGCCGACACUCAUCAGACCCCAGAAAAGGUGUUGGUCGAUAUAGACAGCAGGACGGUGGCCAUGGAAGUCGGAAUCCGCUAAGGAGUGUGUAACAACUCACCUGCCGAAUCAACGAGCCCUGAAAAUGGAUGGCACAGGAGCGUCGGGCCCAUACCCAGCCGUCGCCGGCCACGAGAGCCUCGAGGGCUACGCCGCGAUGAGUAGGAGGGCCACCGCGGUGAGUACGGAAGCCUAGGGCGCGGACCCGGGUGGAGCUGCCGCAGGUGCAGAUCUUGGUGGUAGUAACAAAUAUUCAAACGAGAGCUUUGAAAGCCAAAGUGGAGAAGGGUUCCAUGUGAACAGCAUGGGAGUCGGGUUCAGAUCCCCGAAUCCGGAGUGGCGGAGAUGGGCGCCAUGAGGCGUCCAGUGCAGUAACGCACCGAUCCCGGAGAAGCUGGCGGGAGCCCCGGGGAGAGUUCUCUUUUCUUUGUGAAGGGCAGGGCACCCUGGAAUGGGUUCGCCCCAAGAGAGGGGCCCAAGCCCUGGAAACCGUCAUGGUUCCGGCGGCGUCCGGUGAGCUCUCACUGUGAUCUAUUGAAAGUCAGCCUUCGAUCCAAGCUUUUGUCGGGAGACGAAAGGCGUCUUCCUCCACCUUCCCCCUUUUUUUCUAACGGGUU
rnacentral:ncRNA from 1 species